UACAGAGGGUGCAAGCGUUGUUCGGAAUUAUUGGGCGGUAAAGCGCGUGUAGGCGGCCUUGCAAGUCGGGUGGUGAAAUCCCCGGGCCUUAACCUGGGAACUGCGUUUGAAACUACAGGCUAGAGUGUGGCAGAGGGGGGUGGAAUUCCACGUGUAGCAGUGAAAUGCGUAGAGAUGUGGAGGAAUACCGAUGCGAAGGCAG
rnacentral:rRNA from 1 species